UGGAGAGUCCAUACAGGUAGAAGCCAUAGGAAUCAAGAUGUUGAAGUUACCUUUGGGUAAAGUUUUAGAACUGAAAACCUGUUAUUACAUUCCUAAAAUUAUUAGACAUAUUAUUUCUAUACUUCUGUUAUUAGAACAAGAUUUUGAAAUAAAAACUAAAAGCAAUGGUUGUUCUAUUUAUCUUUCUAAUGUAUUUUAUAGAAAUAC
rnacentral:lncRNA from 1 species